rnacentral:lncRNA from 1 species
AUGUCGGAGCGAGGCGUCCGAGGCGAGGCCGGGCCGGGCGGCGGCGCCUCGCCGGGGAGCGCGGGCCGCCGCCGCCGCCGCUGCCGCCGCCGCUACCGCCGCCGCCGCCGGGGGAGGGCGCGCGGGCCGGCGGGCGGGCGCGAGGCGCCGCGGCGACGCCGCGCCGGGGGCGGCGGGCCCGGGCCGGCGGGGGGUCCGCGGCGGCCGCUCGCUCCUUCCUGCUCGGCCGGCGGCGGCGGCGGCGGCGGCGGCUCCCGCGGCUCCGGCGGCGGCGGGGGCGCUGUCCGCGCGGCCCGGCGCCCUCCCCGCCUCUCAGGGCCGCCGCUGCCUCCCCGGCUGGCGCUGCGGGCCGGCCGCCGCCUCCGCCUUCCCUGUUCCGCCGCCGCCGCCGCCGCCUUGUUUAUCUCCAGCCACCGACUCCCCCUCGGCCCCCGCCGGCGCGUGAGGGGAGGCGAGCCCCGGAGCCGCCGCCGCCGCCGCCUCGGAGCCGCCGCCGCCGCGGAGCGCGAACUCGCGAAGGGGGGGGUGCGGACGAAGCCAGCGGGCGACCCCGGCAGCCGAGCGACGUCCCCUCCUUCCUCUUCCUCCCCCACCCCCCCCUCCUCCCCAGUCAGCCUCGCUUCUCCUCCCUCCCCGGGCUCGCUCGCUCUGACAGCAAUGGCGGCCGCCGACCGCGGCUCCGCCCGCCAUUGGCUGGUGGCGCGUCACGUGACGGGCGCCGGCCGCGCGGGGGGGCGGGGGCGGGGGAGGGGCCGGGAGCGGCGGCGGCUGCGGCGGCGGCGGCUCGCGGGCGGCGCUGCUGAGCCGAGCGCGGCCGUCUUCUUGGCCCGAAGAGGGAGGGAGACGGGGAGGGAGAGAAAGAAGUGCGGGCGGCGGCCGGCCGGCCCGGCUGCGCGGCCGUGGACUGCCCUCGUGGGCGCCGCGCCCCGCCCCCUGGGGUGCACGGAUCCCGGCGGGGAGCAUCCCGGGGAUGCCCGCGGCCGAGGGCUCGGCGUCCCCUCGGGUGCCCGACCGCCCAGGCUGGCCGGCCGGGCGGGGGCUCGCCGCGGGCCGGGCCGCAGGUCCAAGCGCUCCCGGGAGUGUCGCGUCGAGGUCGCCCUCCGACGUCCGCCUUCUGCAGAUGGGAAAACUGAAGCACAAAGAGAUUAA